GAAAGCGUGCGACAGGGAGUGGGAGCCCCAAGUCAAGAGGAGCCCCACAGAGGCAGCCCUGGACUUCGGGACCACAGAGGUGCUGAGUGCUGCCCGAUUCUGGAUCCCACUCUGCUUAGCUCAGAACUUUGUCAGCGAGCAAGAACAAUGCCAGGAGGUCUGGAGAAAACGUGUCAUCAGUGCAUUUCUAAAAUCGCCAGCAAUGCCUGCUUCGUUGUUGUGCUCUGUGCUUUCCUGGCUCUGCCGCUGUCCAUGACCUUCAUAGGUAAGCUGCCUUCCGA
rnacentral:lncRNA from 1 species